UACGUAGGGCGCAAGCGUUGUCCGGAAUUAUUGGGCGUAAAGAGCUCGUAGGCGGUUUGUCGCGUCUGCCGUGAAAGUCCGGGGCUCAACUCCGGAUCUGCGGUGGGUACGGGCAGACUAGAGUGAUGUAGGGGAGACUGGAAUUCCUGGUGUAGCGGUGAAAUGCGCAGAUAUCAGGAGGAACACCGGUGGCGAAGGCGGAUCUCUGGGCCGAUACUGACGCUGAGGAGCGAAAGCGUGGGGAGCGAACAGC
rnacentral:rRNA from 1 species